UGGGGAAUUUUGGACAAUGGGCGAAAGCCUGAUCCAGCAAUGCCGCGUGUGUGAAGAAGGCCUUCGGGUUGUAAAGCACUUUUGUCCGGAAAGAAAUCCUUGGCUCUAAUACAGUCGGGGGAUGACGGUACCGGAAGAAUAAGCACCGGCUAACUACGUGCCAGCAGCCGCGGUAAUACGUAGGGUGCAAGCGUUAAUCGGAAUUACUGGGCGUAAAGCGUGCGCAGGCGGUUUGCUAAGACCGAUGUGAAAUCCCCGGGCUCAACCUGGGAACUGCAUUGGUGACUGGCAGGCUAGAGUAUGGCAGAGGGGGGUAGAAUUCCACGUGUAGCAGUGAAAUGCGUAGAGAUGUGGAGGAAUACCGAUGGCGAAGGCAGCCCCCUGGGCCAAUACUGACGCUCAUGCACGAAAGCGUGGGGAGCAAACAGGAUUAGAUACCCUGGUGNGUCCACGCCCUAAACGAUGUCAACUAGUUGUUGGGGAUUCAUUUCCUUAGUAACGUAGCUAACGCGUGAAGUUGACCGCCUGGGGAGUACGGUCGCAAGAUUAAAACUUAAAGGAAUUGACGGGGUCAUAGCUGUUUCCU
rnacentral:rRNA from 1 species